AUAACACAAUUUAAUUCUGUUGUAUUGCAUAUAGCUGUGGAAAUAUUACUAGUAUUAUUAUUUAACUAUUUAUAUAUUUAUAUAUAUUGCAUUGAUAUAAAUCCAAUAUUAAUUAAAAUUACAUAAUCAAUUUAGUUAGGUAAAUAUUUAAUGUCGCAAAUUUUUCUUUUGCAACUAUAUUCUAAUUAUUAUCGGACUUUGUCCCAAAAUCAGGUAUGAUUUUAGUUAGACCAUACAAUAACAAGUAAGUAUUUUGUAGAACCUGGCGCCUUAGCAUACAAAUAUUUUUGUUCGCAAGUGAAUAUGUUAGGUUCAGUAUUCUAUAGUCUUUCUAUAAAAAUUCUUCACGCGCAUUUUUAUAGAUGAAUAGGUUUAAAAAAUUAUUUUAUAUAUACUAAUUUUUACCAUAAGCAGCCAUUUUACAGCUAUUUACACUUAAGGAGCACUAUCUUUAUCCUUUGAAAAUCUCUAUUGAUCAUUUGCAUCUAAAAUUAACAUCGCAAAGAAGUUUGUUGUUCUUUUAUGACAAUAUUAUUUUUAAAAUAUGACUUUUCCGUUGUAUAUUGUAUUAGUAGUUUUCUGUGACGUACAAAUAGGAGAUUUAAGUAUGAAAUAGAAUUAUAACAAAAGAAUUUAGAUAAUUUUCUGUAAUUACAGAAUAGAAAAAAGAUAAUACAAAUUUUUGAUUGAUUUUUCAGAUGGAUCGCCUAAUCAAUGACUUUGAUAUUAUGACUUGGAAAUAUACAAUUCUAUAUACGGGAGUUGCUGUAGGAUUCGGAUAUGCUUUGUAUAAAUGGUAUACAAAUAGUUUGAGAUUAAUACCAGGCCCAAGGGGUCUACCCAUUCUAGGCAUUACGCCGUAUAUGGACAUAAAACAUUUUCAUGUGCAAUUGAAUGAAUAUGCAAAAGAGUAUGGGCCCGUCUGUCGAAUUGACCUUCUGGGUGAAUCUGUAAUUUUGGUUACUGGUAAAGAUGCAAUUGAUGAAGUUCUGUCUACGAAACAAAAUGAUUUUUCAGACAGAUUGCAAACGUUUAGGACCAGUCUAGCUAUGAACGAAAACGAAGUAACAGGAUUUAUGAAUGAUACACCAGAAUUUAGAGAGAUAAAGAAACAGAUAUAUAAAUCAUUGAAAACCUAUGGUGAUGGUAUGAAUAAAGUUGAAAAUAUAAUGGAAGAAGUAUUAACUGAUUUGAUGAAAGAUAUUCGAAACGAGGAGAAAACUUCUGUCAAUUUUAGCCUUAAACUACAAUAUACUUUAACGACUGUUAUCACUUCGCUGAUUUUUGCACAAAGAGUUCAUGAAAAAGACAUAAUUAGAACCAUCGGUUUGGUCGAUAAAACUUCUAAAUCAUUUUUCAAUCUCUCCAGUAUUUUAUUAGAUGUUAUGCCCUGGUUAAGAUUUUUUGGAAACAAAGCUUAUCAAACAUUGAAAUCGUCUAGAAUGUCGAUUGACCAAACUUUCGACCCAACUAUUGAAGACCUCAAAAAUUCGAUUGACGAGAAUCGUAUUCGUAACUUUGUGGAUAGUUUCUAUCUUAAUUGUGAAAAGAGUUCACUGCAGCUCAGUCACUCUUUGCUGGCCAAUAAUGUCAAGGGAUUGAUAAUUGCAGGUUAUUUGACUUCUUCAUCGAUAUUAUAUACCUUAUUGUUAUUAUUAAUGAAACACCGAGAUAUUGAAGACAAGAUUGUUAGAGAGAUUAUAACCUACAUUGGUACAAACCGAUUACCUAAGAUGGAAGACCGAGAAAAAAUGCCGUAUACUGAAGCUUCUAUCUUAGAAGCCUUAAGAUAUAUAUCAAACGUCCCAAUUGCACUACCCCACGUCGCUAAGAAUACUUCUACCAUUUCGCAAUUCAAAAUAGAAAAAGGAACUCAGAUAUGGGUUAAUUUGUGGGGCUUACAUCAUUCAGAAGAAAUUUGGGGAGAUCCUUUUACUUUUAGGCCAGAAAGAUUCUUGGCUGAAGAUGGAAGUUUACUGCCUCUCGAUUCGAAACUGAGAAAAUGCUUAAUGGCUUUCGGAGCUGGUAGAAGAUUUUGUGUUGGAAAGAAUUUAGCUAUGCACAGAAUAUUUUUAAUUCUUACUGCCGUCUUGCAAAAUUUUCGCUUGGAAAUACCGAAUAAUACAGAACUAGUUGAUUUAGACUGUAGAAAAUUUGAAUUUGGCCUUGUUGUCGCAGCUUCGGCAAUGCCUUUGAAGUUUAUUCCAAGAAACCUUUAAAAUUGAAAACAGGAAAACUAUACACAAGUAUCUAAAAAUAUAAAUUAAAAGUAUAGUAUCAAUGAUUGUAGCCUGUGUUAUAUACAGUAGAACAAAUAAUUUAUGUUUUGAUGGUAACAUAUAAUGUAAACCUAAUUACCUUUCGUUUUAAUUGCUUAUUACAAACCUUAAAUUAUUCAUUUUAAGUCAUAUCUUACGUGAUUACGAUUGGAAUUAAAUUUCCUACUGCUUAAGUAGCUAUUUACUUUCGUAUACUGCUGAUGGCUUGUGACAACUUUUAACUGUAUAUUGUAAAUGUAUAUAUAUUUAAAAAUGGAUACUACUGAAUAAAUAUUAAAGAAAAUGAAUGGAG
rnacentral:misc_RNA from 1 species